UUGGCGUGGGGGAACCUGACCGCAAUGCCGCGUGAGUGAAGAAGGCCUUCGGGUUGUAAAGCUCUUUUGUCAGGGAAGAAACACCGGCUCUAACACAGUCCGGGAAUGACGGUACCUGAAGAAUAAGCACCGGCUAACUACGUGCCAGCAGCCGCGGUAAUACGUAGGGUGCAAGCGUUAAUCGGAAUUACUGGGCGUAAAGCGUGCGCAGGCGGUUAUACAAGACAGGCGUGAAAUCCCCGGGCUUAACCUGGGAAUGGCGCCUGUGACUGUAUAGCUAGAGUGUGUCAGAGGGGGGUAGAAUUCCACGUGUAGCAGUGAAAUGCGUAGAUAUGUGGAGGAAUACCAAUGGCGAAGGCAGCCCCCUGGGAUAACACUGACGCUCAUACACGAAA
rnacentral:rRNA from 1 species